AUCAGAGUUGCGCAGCGGAAGUGUGGUGUGCCCAUAACCCACAGGUCCAAAGAUCGAAACUUGGCUCUGAUA
rnacentral:tRNA from 1 species